ACCGUGAAAUCCGCGAUCACUAAAUGUUUAUGCACUUACAGCUAUACAACAACUUGCCCCCUGUUUGACCCUGGGUCGACCGCUAGGACGGCAUAUGUCGCAUUGCGCAAAGCCGGAAGUAAAGUACUUGUCACAUACUGAGGGGAAGCUCCGAGGCAGACCGUCAGACUACGGUACGUUUCAUUUUCCGCGUACGUCGCAGGGAUUCGGAUCUAGAAGCGUCACAGUUUGCAAAUAAUCUGCAUAAAGACCAGCUGAAGUACUGGGACCACGUAAACUAUUACUUAAAGAUAAAGGUAUAUCACAUCAGAAAGACUUUGAGAUAUGGACCCCACAGAGACUGUUGCGGCCAGCGCUGUGACACUGCAGCCCGGGACAACUCGGUCACGCUUUCAAACAGCACCAGGGGCUGAGCAAGGCCCCAUACACAUCAGGAGGAUGGAAGCGCAGGACGUCGAGUUCGCUAAUCGGGUUGUUAUGGAGGCCUUUCACGAUAAAGUGAAAUACGCGGUCAGAAAGAGUCG